GGAGCUCUCCCNUAUGGUCGACCUGCAGGCGGCCGCGAAUUCACUAGUGAUUAGAGUUUGAUCCUGGCUCAGAUUGAACGCUGGCGGCAGGCCUAACACAUGCAAGUCGAACGGUAACAGAAAGCAGCUUGCUGCUUUGCUGACGAGUGGCGGACGGGUGAGUAAUGUCUGGGAAACUGCCUGAUGGAGGGGGAUAACUACUGGAAACGGUAGCUAAUACCGCAUAACGUCGCAAGACCAAAGAGGGGGACCUUCGGGCCUCUUGCCAUCGGAUGUGCCCAGAUGGGAUUAGCUUGUUGGUGGGGUAACGGCUCACCAAGGCGACGAUCCCUAGCUGGUCUGAGAGGAUGACCAGCCACACUGGAACUGAGACACGGUCCAGACUCCUACGGGAGGCAGCAGUGGGGAAUAUUGCACAAUGGGCGCAAGCCUGAUGCAGCCAUGCCGCGUGUAUGAAGAAGGCCUUCGGGUUGUAAAGUACUUUCAGCGGGGAGGAAGGGAGUAAAGUUAAUACCUUUGCUCAUUGACGUUACCCGCAGAAGAAGCACCGGCUAACUCCGUGCCAGCAGCCGCGGUAAUACGGAGGGUGCAAGCGUUAAUCGGAAUUACUGGGCGUAAAGCGCACGCAGGCGGUUUGUUAAGUCAGAUGUGAAAUCCCCGGGCUCAACCUGGGAACUGCAUCUGAUACUGGCAAGCUUGAGUCUCGUAGAGGGGGGUAGAAUUCCAGGUGUANCGGUGAAAUGCGUAGAGAUCUGGANGAAUACCGGUGGCGANNCGGCCCCCUGNNCGAAGACUGACGCUCAGGUGCGAAAGCGUGGGGAGCAAACAGGAUUANAUACCCUGGUAGUCCACGCCGUAAACGAUGUCNACUNNGNNGUUGUGCCCUNNAGGCGUGGCUUCCNGNAGCUAAC
rnacentral:rRNA from 1 species